ACACGUAUGAAAGUCAAGCUGAAAGACUUUACUCAAUGAUGUAAGUGGUGGUGCAUGGUCGUUCUUAGUUCGUGGAUUGAUUUGUCUGGUCUAUUCCGAUAACGAGCGAGACCCUGGCGUUCCUAAUAGGGGCAGCAGCCCAGCCAGCCGCAAGGUUGGCUAGCUAGCUAUCUUUUCUCUGCUUCUUAGACGUAUCAGAGCCGAUAAGGUUCUUGAAAUGGGUUAAUAACAGGUCAGUCAUGCCCUUAGAUGUUCUGGGCCGCACGCGCGUUACAAUGGCAUGUAAAGCAAGUGCUUUAUUUUAAUACGGCUUCUCCGGGGCCGACAGGCUUUGGUAAUCAUUAAUCCCUGCCUUGACUGGGACAGAUCAUUGCAAUUAUUGGUCUCAAACGAGGAAUUUUUAGUAAUCGUAGGUCAUUACCCUGCGAUGA
rnacentral:rRNA from 1 species